rnacentral:rRNA from 1 species
GCUUACCAUGCAGUGGAGCGACGACCUGGCUUCGGCCUGGGGCAGAGCCGCGAACGCGUGAGUAACACGUGGGUAACCUGCCUCGAUGACCGGGACAACUCGGGGAAACCCGGGCUAAUACCGGAUGUGCUGUUUUCACUUAAGUGAGAAUUGGAAAGGAAGCUUCGGCCUCCGCAUCGAGAUGGGCCCGCGGCCCAUUAGCUUGUUGGUGAGGUAACGGCUCACCAAGGCCGCGAUGGGUAGCUGGUCUGAGAGGACGAUCAGCCACACUGGGACUGAGACACGGCCCAGACUCCUACGGGAGGCAGCAGUGGG